GGCAGCACGGACUUCGGUCUGGUGGCAGGCGAACGGGUGAGUAAUGUAUCGGAACGUGCCUGGUAGCGGGGGAUAACUACGCGAAAGCGUAACUAAUACACCAUACGCCCUUCGGGGAAAGCGGGGGACCUUCGGGCCUCCGCACUAUUAGAGCAGCCGAUAUCGGAUUGGCUAGUUGGUGGGGUAACGGCACCAAGGCGACGAUCCGUAGCUGGUUUUGGGGACGGUAAAGCCACACUAGGACUGAGGCCAUUUGAACUCUACGGGAGGCAGCAGUGGGGAAUUUUGGACAAUGGGGAAACCCUGAUCAGCCAUCCCGCGUCAAUGCGAUGGGGGAAGCCUUCAGGUUGUAAAGCACUUUUGGCAGGAAAGAAACGGCACAGGAUAUGCCCCGUGCAACUGACGGUACCUGCGGGGAAUAAGCACGAAAGCUAACUACGUGCCAACCCAGCCGCGGUAAUACGUGGUGCCAAGCGUUAAUCAACAGUUACUAUGAGGCGUAAAGCGUACGCAGGCGGUUCGGAAAGAAAGAUGUGAAAUCCCGAAACCGCUUUGGAACUGCAUUUUUAACUACCGAGCUAGAGUGUAAUGGGAAAGGAGGUGAAUUCCCUUGUGCGCGCUUGGUGAAAUGCGUAGAUAUGCCGGAAAGGAACACGAUGGCGAAGGCGACCUCCUGGGAUACUACUGUGCGGUAACUCAUGCACGAAAAGCGUGGGGAGCAAACAGGAUUAGAUACCUAGUAGUCCACGCCUAAACGAAUGUCAACUGGCUGUUGGGGCCUUCGGGCCUUGGUAGCGCAGCUAACGCGUGAAGUUGACCCGCCGCCAAAUGGUCGCAAGAUUAAAACUCAAAGGAAUUGACGGGGACCCGCACAAGCGGUGGAUGAUGUGGAUUAAUUCGAUGCAACGCGAAAACCUUACCUACCCUUGACAUGUCUGGAAUCCCGAAGAGAUUUGGGAGUGCUCGCAAGAGAACCGGAACACAGGUGCUGCAUGGCUGUCGUCAGCUCGUGUCGUGAGAUGUUGGGUUAAGUCCCGCAACGAGCGCAACCCUUGUCAUUAGUUGCUACGAAAGGGCACUCCUAAUGAGACUGCCGGUGACAAACCGGAGGAAGGUGGGGAUGACGUCAAGUCCCUCAUGGCCCUUAUGGGUAGGGCUUCACACGUCAUACAAUGGUGGGACAGAGGGUCGCCAACCCGCGAGGGGUAAUCCCAGAAACCCGAUCGUGAUCCGGAUCGCAGUCUGCAACUCGACUGCGUGGAAAUUGGAAUCGCUAGUAAUCGCGGAUCGCUUUGUCACAGGUGAAUACGUUCCCAGGUCUUGUACACACCGCCCGUCACACCAUAGAAUUACAGGUUUUACCGAAAGUAGUUAGCUAACCAUAAGAGGCGAUUACCACAGUAGGAUUCAUGACUGGGGUGAAGUCGUAACUAAGGUAG
rnacentral:rRNA from 1 species